rnacentral:rRNA from 1 species
GAUGAACGCUGGCGGCGUGCCUAAUACAUGCAAGUCGAGCGAACGGACGAGAAGCUUGCUUCUCUGAUGUUAGCGGCGGACGGAUGAGUAACACGUGGAUAACCUACCUAUAAGACUGGGAUAACUUCGGGAAACCGUAGCUAAUACCGGAUAAUAUUUUGAACCGCAUGGUUCAAAAGUGAAAGACGGUCUUGCUGUCACUUAUAGAUGGAUCCGCGCUGCAUUAGCUAGUUGGUAAGGUAACGGCUUACCAAGGCAACGAUGCAUAGCCGACCUGAGAGGGUGAUCGGCCACACUGGAACUGAGACACGGUCCAGACUCCUACGGGAGGCAGCAGUAGGGAAUCUUCCGCAAUGGGCGAAAGCCUGACGGAGCAACGCCGCGUGAGUGAUGAAGGUCUUCGGAUCGUAAAACUCUGUUAUUAGGGAAGAACAUAUGUGUAAGUAACUGUGCACAUCUUGACGGUACCUAAUCAGAAAGCCACGGCUAACUACGUG